ensembl:lncRNA COPS8-DT COPS8 divergent transcript
GUGGAAUCACAGAAAUUAUGCAAUUUGUACUUCAUAGCUUAUACAUGCAUAUAGAUUUUGUUUUUACCAGAACCACGCUGGUAAAAACAGAUGCUGCACAAAGUGAACUUGCCCGUUUUCAUCGCACUUUACGUGCACGAAUUCUACCUCUACUCUCGACCUGGGACUCACCGAUGCGUAAGGAAGGACUGAAAAGCAAAAGAACUAUGGACUGGCCUUUUGGCAUGAUCAGGUGUCUAAUAUAAAGAAGUGCAUGAAUAAGAAAAUAUAUGAUAUGAGUGAUGGUUAAUACUGACUGUCAACUUGAUUGGAUUGAAGGAUGCAAAGUAUUGAUCCUGGGUGUGUCUGUGAGGGUGUUGCCAAAGGAGAUUAACAUUUGAGUCAGUGGGCUGGGAAAGUUCGACCCACUGUUAAUCUAGAUGGACACCAUCUAAUCAGAUGCCAGUGCAGCUAGAAAUGUAAAGCAGACAGAAAAAUGCGAAAAGAGAGACUGGCCUAGCCUGCCAGCCUACAUCUUUCUCCCACGCUGGAUGCUUCCUGCCCUCGAACAUCAGACUCCAAGUUCUUCAGUUUGGGACUUGGACUGGCUCUCCUUGUUCCUCAGCUUGAAGACUGCCCAUUGUGGGACUUGUGAUCAUGUGGAUUUAGAGUUUCCUACGGCUGUUGCUUCACAUGUCAUCUGGAGAAGGCCCCCUGUGCAGUCUUUGCAACUUUCCACAGAUAAAGGUGAAAAUAAUGCAAGAGGAAAACAGAUGACGGCCUUUCCCUAAGGCAGAAACUGGGAAGAAGGGAAGCCUGAGAGGAGCAAAAGGACCUGAUGCCAUGAGUGGCCUCAGUGUGAAAUGCGGAGGGCCUCAGUUUGUGUCCCAGCACAGAGACUCUCUACACAAGGUUUUGUUCUUGUUUGUGUUUUUAACUUUUCUCCCAUCCCCUGACGGAGACACCUGUGCCUGAGCUCCAGGGGAACUCGGCAGCGCCCAUGCUCCAUUCCUUGGAUGCUUCUGUGAGUUGAGCAGAAAGACUUUCUUCUCAUUUCUAUCAAUCACCUUUCUUUGCUCUCAGCCCACUCACUUCCCCAUCUUCUACACCUCACGGAAGCAGGAAGGAGGGGCUGCCGAGGACCCCAGGAAUGCGGCCCCAGGAGUCACCAUGCAGAUGAAGAAGGGAGGCGCCCUCAUAUUCGGGCAGCCUGGGAACUGGGAUGUGUUCCAUGCAGUGACAGCUCCCAGCGCUCUGAAGCCAUGACAGCGGAGGAGGCAAGGCAAGACCCCUCCUGCAGAACAGCCACCUGCAGGGGAGAUCUGGCGAGGAGUAAGAAUCGGGUAGAUUUACGCCAGGUCCCCUAAGAGCGGUGCAAAGAAAUGGAUCAAAUAGGCAAGCAUUUCAUCAGGGAAAAUGCCUAAGAGAAAUGCGGGGGGAAGCUGGGUGCAACUGGAAUAGCCUUCAGACUGUGGUGUGAGUCUGACCCCAGUGAAGGAAAGAGGAGGGAUGGCUGCGAGGAGGUGGCCCCAGGAAAGUUCUGCAAAGCCACCGGGCAUCCUCAACCCUGAACCAGAGGACUCAGCCCAACCUCUCCCCAGAGUGGACCUGCACUGCCUUGCUCAGACACUGGCUGGGAGCAGCCUGUGAGAAAUGUGGCUGCAUGCAAAUAUUUAACCGUCAACAAGCCACAGCUGAGGAAACAUGGCCACACAACCGUAUUAGUCCAUUCUCGCACUGUUACAAAAAAUACCUGAGACUGGGUAAUGUAUGAAGGAAAGAGGUUGAAUUGGCUCACAGUUCCACAGGCUGUACAGGAAGCGUGGCAACAUCUACUUCUGGGGUGACCUGUGGGAGUUUUUACUCAUGGUGGGGGCAAUGAGGGAGCAGGCAUUUCACCUGGCAGGAGCAGGAGGAAGAGAGAGGGGGGAGGUACCACACUUUUUUUUUUUUUUGAAAAGAAGACUUGCUCUUUCGCCCAGGCUGGAGUGCAGUGGCAUGAUCUCACCUCACUGCAACCAUUGCCUUCUGGAUUCAAGCGAUUCUCCUGCCUCAGCCUUCCGAGUAGCUGGGAUUACAGGCACGUGCCACUAAGCCCGGCUAAUUCUUUUAUUUUUAAUAGAGAUGGGGUUUCAUCAUGUUGGCUAGGCUGGUUUCAAACUCCUGACCACAAGUGAUCCACCCACCUCGGCCUCCCAAAGUGUUGGGAUUACAGGUGUGAGCCACUGCUCCCAGCCUGCACACUUUUAUACAACCAGAUCUUGUGAAAACUCUUGUCACUAUACAGUACCAAGGGGAGAUGGUGGUAAACCAUUCAUGAGAACUCUGCCUCCAUGAUCCAGUCAUCUCCCCCAGGUCCUCCCUGACACUGGGGAUUACAAUUCAACAUGAGAUUUGGGAAGGGACACGAGGCAAAUCAUAUCAACAACCAUUUGGAAAGUCAUAUGCAAUGGGAGAGAGAAAUCAUGGGAAAUAAUAUAAAAUGAAUUCUUUUCAGCAACGAAAUCUGCUGACAUCAAGAUAAAUACAUAUAUACAUGCAUAUAUACACACACGCAUAUAUUUAAUAUGAAGUCUGCUUCAAACUCAAACAAUAGAGAGAUGGAUUUAUGCAUAUCUGAAAAUGAGCACUAUACCUCUAUUAAAUAGGUAAUAUUGAAAAAUACCCGAUGGCAUAGAAUAAUGUUCUGAAAUGAAAAUAACGGG